rnacentral:rRNA from 1 species
UACGUAGGGUGCGAGCGUUAAUCGGAAUUACUGGGCGUAAAGCGUGCGCAGGCGGUUUUGUAAGACAGAUGUGAAAUCCCCGGGCUCAACCUGGGAACUGCGUUUGUGACUGCAAGACUCGAGUGCGGCAGAGGGGGGUGGAAUUCCACGUGUAGCAGUGAAAUGCGUAGAGAUGUGGAGGAACACUGAUGGCGAAGGCAGCCCCCUGGGUCGACACUGACGCUCAUGCACGAAAGCGUGGGGAGCAAACAGG